GGGCCCGUGGCCUAGUUGGAUCAGGGCAUUCGGCUUCGGACCGAAAAGUCGGGGGUUCGAGUCCCUCCGGGCCCG
rnacentral:tRNA from 1 species